CGGCCCGUGGCUUAAUGGCUAUGGCUCCCGCCUCAUAAGCGGAGGGUUCCGGGUUCGAUUCCCGACCGGUCUC
rfam:Culex pipiens quinquefasciatus supercont3.504 genomic scaffold, whole genome shotgun sequence.